rnacentral:misc_RNA from 1 species
GUAGGUGAACCUGCGGAAGGAUCAUUAUCACGUAAUAAUCCACGUUAUAAACCCUUCUUUGAAUUGUUUUUAAACACUAAAUUUCUGGAACAGCCUUUGUGGCUGGAAUGCUUCUGAACUGGGAUAUGAAAAUUUUAAUAGAACACGGUCUUAAAAUUUAUUUUAAGAUUGAAAUGGGAAAAUUAUUGUAAUUUGAGAUCCCAGAGUUCUGUUAAUAGUUCAUAACCAGCAAUUCGUUAGUGUCUAAGAA